rnacentral:lncRNA from 1 species
UUUCACCAGAGCCCAUGGAGAGAGCAUUUAAACCAGCCCUUACCGGAAGGGUAUCCUCUGUCUCAGCGGAAGGAAGCUAAGUUUCAGCUAGCUUCACCAUCAAUGGACUGAAGUGCCCUGGGGUCCUGAAUAAAUUUGGAAGACAGGCCACAAAGGACUGCAGUCCUUGGUGAAGUCCUCAUGCUCCUCUGGCCUUGGAGCCAAUGGAUGUGGAGUGCCUGUGACACGGAGACACCAGUUGUAAUGGCCAGAGGAGUAUUUUCAUUGACCCUUUUCCAACUCCAGGCAGCACAGCUAAGGGAGAAUUAUUAUUAUUAUUAUUUUUCCACUUGGGGAAAGGAGAGGGAAGAGUACAGAGGGCUUUUUGUCUUAAAACUUGAGUACUGGCUAAGCCAUAGUAAAAUAAAACACUAAGCAGACUUCUGAACUUCUCAAUUCCAGGUUCUAGCUCCUGGAUGGCAUUUUCUAGAUAAACCCUUAGCCAGAAGGGAACUCACUGCCCUGAAGGGAAGGACCCAGUUCUCUCAGGAUUCACCACCUGCUGACAAAAGAGCCUUUGGGCCUUGAAUAAACAUUAGCAGUAGCCAGGUAGUAGUCCUCACAGGACUUAACUGAUACCCAGUACCGUGGUGAACUCAAGUUGAUCCAUCACAGAUCCAGUUGCAGUGGCCACAGAACUGCUUGCAUCACUCGUUCCCUAACUCCAGACACUGUGGCACAUACAGAGACAGACUUCUGUUUGGAGGAAAAUGAGGGAAGAAAAUAAGAAACUUUGCUGUGUAAUCCAGGAAAUUAUUUUGGAUUCUAUCCAAAUCCACCAAGGUUAGGUUUUUGUGCAGCAUCCUGAUGGAACUUCAAUACACACUUGAUACUGUGAGCAUGAAAUUUUCAAGG